rnacentral:rRNA from 1 species
GAUGAACGCUGGCGGCGUGCCUAAUACAUGCAAGUCGAGCGAACGGACGAGAAGCUUGCUUCUCUGAUGUUAGCGGCGGACGGGUGAGUAACACGUGGAUAACCUACCUAUAAGACUGGGAUAACUUCGGGAAACCGUAGCUAAUACCGGAUAAUAUUUUGAACCGCAUGGUUCAAAAGUGAAAGACGGUCUUGCUGUCACUUAUAGAUGGAUCCGCGCUGCAUUAGCUAGUUGGUAAGGUAACGGCUUACCAAGGCAACGAUGCAUAGCCGACCUGAGAGGGUGAUCGGCCACACUGGAACUGAGACACGGUCCAGAAUCCUAAGGGAGGCAGCAGUAGGGAAUCUUCCGCAAUGGGCGAAAGCCUGACGGAGCAACGCCGCGUGAGUGAUGAAGGUCUUCGGAUCGUAAAACUCUGUUAUUAGGGAAGAACAUAUGUGUAAGUAACUGUGCACAUCUUGACGGUACCUAAUCAGAAAGCCACGGCUAACUACGUG